CCUCUUCCUGCCCAGCCGGCCCUUUCCCCUCCCCUCGGCGCUCCCCCGCCCCGCUCCCUCCGCCCUCCCUGGGCUCCGGCGGCGGCUGAGUGAACGGGACCGCCCGGCCGCAGAGCGCGGGGCGGCGGGUGGGACGCGGGUGCCUGGUGGAGUUGUUCCGGCAGCGCCGGCGGAGACGUGAGGAGGUGAGGCGCGGGCGGCUUCCCGGGGCCCGAGGGCGCCCGGCCCCGAGCGGCAGGCCGGGUCUGCCUGCUGGGGGCGUCGGCGUGCGCGCCGCGCCCAGAGGGGUCGCGGUGGGGCUGGGCCGGGGCGGGAG
rnacentral:lncRNA from 1 species